UACGAAGGGGGCUAGCGUUGUUCGGAAUUACUGGGCGUAAAGCGCGCGCAGGCGGCCUUUCAAGUCGGUGGUGAAAUCCCAGAGCUCAACUCUGGAAUUGCCAUCGAAACUGUAAGGCUUGGGUACGGGAGAGGUGAGUGGAAUUCCGAGUGUAGAGGUGAAAUUCGUAGAUAUUCGGAAGAACACCAGUGGCGAAGGCGGCUCACUGGCCCGUUACCGACGCUCAGGCGCGACAGCGUGGGGAGCAAACAGGAUUAGAUACCCUGGUAGUCCACGCCGUAAACGAUGAUUGCUAGCCGUUGGUAAGCAUGCUUAUCAGUGGCGCAGCUAACGCAUUAAGCAAUCCGCCUGGGGAGUACGGCCGCAAGGUUGAA
rnacentral:rRNA from 1 species